AGAGUUUGAUCCUGGCUCAGAACGUACGCUGGCGGCACGCCUAACACAUGCAAGUCGAACGAAGUAGCAAUACUUAGUGGCAGACGGGUGAGUAACAUGUAGGUAUCUGCCCUUUGGCCUGGAAUAACACGAGGAAACUUGUGCUAAUACCGGAUAAGUCUUUACAGAGAAAGCUUUAUGCACCAUUGGAUGAGCCUGCACUUGAUUAGUUUGUUGGUGGGGUAAUGGCCUACCAAGACUGUGAUCAAUAGCUGAUUUGAGAGGAUGAUCAGCCACAUUGGGACUGAGACACGGCCCAAACUCCUACGGGAGGCAGCAGUGGGGAAUCUUGCACAAUGGAGGAAACUCUGAUGCAGCGAUGCCGCGUGAGUGAAGAAGGCCUUUGGGUUGUAAAGCUCUUUCGUCGGGGAAGAAAAUGACUGUACCCGAAUAAGAAGGUCCGGCUAACUUCGUGCCAGCAGCCGCGGUAAUACGAAGGGACCUAGCGUAGUUCGGAAUUACUGGGCUUAAAGAGUUCGUAGGUGGUUGAAAAAGUUGGUGGUGAAAUCCCAGAGCUUAACUCUGGAACUGCCAUCAAAACUUUUCAGCUAGAGUAUGAUAGAGGAAAGCAGAAUUUCUAGUGUAGAGGUGAAAUUCGUAGAUAUUAGAAAGAAUACCAAUUGCGAAGGCAGCUUUCUGGAUCAUUACUGACACUGAGGAACGAAAGCAUGGGUAGCGAAGAGGAUUAGAUACCCUCGUAGUCCAUGCCGUAAACGAUGUGUGUUAGACGUUGGAAAUUUAUUUUCAGUGUCGCAGCGAAAGCGAUAAACACACCGCCUGGGGAGUACGACCGCAAGGUUAAAACUCAAAUGAAUUGACGGGGACCCGCACAAGUAGUGGAGCAUGUGGUUUAAUUCGAAGAUACGCGCAGAACCUUACCAACACUUGACAUGUUCGUCGCGACUCUAAGAGAUUAGAGUUUUCGGUUCGGCCGGACGAAACACAGGUGCUGCAUGGCUGUCGUCAGCUCGUGUCGUGAGAUGUUGGGUUAAGUCCCGCAACGAGCGCAACCCUCACUUUUAGUUGCCAUCAUUAAGUUGGGCACUCUGAAAGAACUGCCAGUGAUAAGCUGGAGGAAGGUGGGGAUGACGUCAAGUCCUCAUGGCCCUUACGUGUUGGGCUACACACGUGCUACAAUGGUAUCUACAACAGGAAGCAAGACUGCGAAGUUAAGCAAAUCCCUAAAAGAUACCUCAGUUCGGAUUGCACUCUGCAACUCGAGUGCAUGAAGCUGGAAUUACUAGUAAUCGUGGAUCAGCGUGCCACGGUGAAUGCGUUCCCGGGUCUUGUACACACCGCCCGUCACACCAUGGGAGUUGGUUCUACCUUAAGGCAAGGUUUCAAACCCUUGACCACGGUAUAGUCAGCGACUGGGGUGAAGUCGUAACAAGGUAACC
rnacentral:rRNA from 1 species